AACCCACCGUCGUCGCGGCCGGACUUGCGCCGCAGUUCGAGCUCGGGAAGCGGCUGUCCUGCAAGUGGACCACCGGCACAGGGCCUCGCAUCGGCUGCGUGAGGGACUACCCCGUUGACCUCCAGAUCAAGGCUCUCGAGCAAGUCAACCUCUCCCCGAGGCUCGUGCCGUCCCCGGGAUGGAGCAAGUGCCCGGUCCCUUCGCCACGUCCCAGCCCCCGCGUGAGACUGUCCCCGAGACUCGCCUACAUGGGCUUCCCCAGCCCCAGGGUCAACCUCACGCUGCCCACGCCAAAACAGAGAUGAAUGACCCGGCGGCGGCGCCGCCCUCUGGUCCGAGCAAUCGGCGAGGGAGACUGACCCACCAUUCAUUUUGAUUCGGCAUUCUUUCGGAAGGUUGUCACCUUCUUUCGGGAGGCAGACGGUGACGAAUCCAGUCUGUAGAACUUCUGUAAAUUCGGCCAGCAUUCGUCUCCUCCAGCAGAGGAAGAUC
rnacentral:lncRNA from 1 species